UACAGGGGGGGCAAGCGUUGUUCGGAAUUACUGGGCGUAAAGGGCGCGUAGGCGGCCUACUAAGUCAGACGUGAAAUCCCCAGGCUUAACUUGGGAACUGCGUCUGAUACUGGAAGGCUUGAGUGCGGGAGAGGGAUGUGGAAUUCCAGGUGUAGCGGUGAAAUGCGUAGAUAUCUGGAGGAACACCGGUGGCGAAGGCGGCAUCCUGGACCGACACUGACGCUGAGGCGCGAAAGCUAGGGGAGCAAACGGG
rnacentral:rRNA from 1 species